rnacentral:rRNA from 1 species
UACGGAGGAGGCAAGCGUUAUCCGGAAUUAUUGGGCGUAAAGCGUCCGCAGGUGGCUAUUCAAGUCUGCGGUCAAAGACUGGGGCUUAACCCUGGAAAGGCCGUGGAAACUGAAGAGCUAGAGUGCAGUAGGGGUAGAGGGAAUUCCCGGUGUAGCGGUGAAAUGCGUAGAGCUCGGGAAGAACAUCGGUGGCGAAAGCGCUCUGCUGGACUUCAACUGACACUCAGGGACGAAAGCUAGGGGAGCGAAUGGG